CUAUGUUUAUGCUAACCCUAACUUAGACUAACUUAAAGAGUUACCCUAAAUUACACUGGCAUUAAGUUACUUCAACUGUUGUAACGUUAAGCUAAUUAUGUAACGUUAGAGUUAGCACCGAGGUCCAUACCUAUUUAGACGGUAACAGACGUAAAUAUAACCAUGUGAGCUUGAGUCAGCUUGAAAACUUCCAAGAACAUAAUGUAACGCAUUAACGUUAACUUACCAUCAUAAUAUUAAGAGGUCAUUCUUAGCCAGCGGCAGCAACGAUACAGUUAGCUUAAAAACGAAAAAAACACAAUGCUAACUAGCGCAGUUUAAAAAUGUUAGCUAACAUUAGCCGAUAGCCAACCUAAAAUAGCCGGGUUUUAGUCCACUUUAACUCCUAUCCUAACGUAACAAGACAAAUCCUUUCCCACCACAGGGACUGGUAACAAUUACUGCACUCUGUCCGUUGAAUGCAACUACACAGAAACUUAAGUAUGCCAGUGGAGGACCUGCCCGGCAAAGAUUUACUGGCUACACAACUAGAAACUACCUAAACCAGCAUAAACGUUACAUGGUCAAUUCAUCCCUCAAGGCUAUUCUUCCUGUCUUCUCUUCGGCCAGAGUCUUCCAAAUUGUUGUCAUGUGAAAAUGAUGUGAUAUGGAUUUGACGGGGCAACAAAAAGGAAAAGAAAAAGAGAGCUGUGAGAAGGCGAGAGAAGUGGGGUGAGAAAUGUAAGAAGGCAGCGACUAAGAGAGGAUAAAAGAAACAGAAAGACAGCAGGAGAGAAAGAAGAGGAAGGACACCUGAUGCUAUAGGGUACAUGCAGUCCACGAUCUCUUGGAUCUGCGACAGCUCCAGGUUCUUCAUGAAGUCAUUGUCCAAGAUUGCCUCCUUGAUCAGAUCCUUGGACCUGGAGACGAGGUGAAUGAAAGCCAGCCGCAGUGAGGGAUGAAACCGUCAAAGCGAGCGUCAGUCUGAUCCUCUCGGACAGAAAGAAGUGUCAAGAGACAGAAGAGAAAUCCGACCAGAUUCUAAACAGCGAUCCAAGAUCACUCAUUCAUUGAGGCAUAUCAUAACCAGAGUCUGAGUUGCUCGGCUGAGCACUGCGUCGCUGGUUUUGACAGAGUGUCAUCUGGAUGAAUGAGGUUAAUAAUAUGUAUCAAGGUUAAUCCAACAAGGAGUCCCCUCCUCCCGGGAAGUCAAGCUUUUAUACCCUAAUUCAUAAAAACGACAGAAAGCCCCCUUCUAUCCCCUGUUAGUAGGAUUCAAAAGCACUGAAUUGCCUCUUGCCUUUUUGUGCUCGGUGCCCUUUUCACACCUGAGGAGCUUAUAGCUAAAAGAGCAAAUAACCUGGAAGGCAUUUAUGAAGCAGUGCUCCCACUACACACAGGCUUCUCUGCCCCACUGCCAGCCCGCAGCAAUGUCCUGCACAAACCACACAACUACACAAACAAAACUUGAAGCACUAAAAUGUCAGUGUCUGCCAUGAUGAAACACCAGCAAUGAUUUAUUUACUGAGCACUCUGCGCAUGUCUGUGUCUUUAAAACAUUGAACUUAAAGUCACAUGAAUGCCUCUCGAUUCAAUCCUGAGACACAUGAUCAAAUCUGGGGAGAAACAGUGGUGCUCCCUCAGAUGAAAAACUUGGGUCUGAAAUAGCAGUCUAAAAUAUAAAUAACGUGGUUCUCAUUGUGUGUGUUUUGCAUUUAACAGCGUGAUGCAUUUUCAAUUAAGGUUUCAAGGCCUGCGGGUCCCCAAACAGCUCUGCUUUUACUCUCUGACAGCAGUAACACUUGUGGAAUAAAGUGAGAAACUAAAUUACUAAAGAACAGCAUUAGCUAGUUGUCACAAUCUAUUGGAAAACACAUAUUACUUAUUUAAUUUAAACAAAGUAUAACCCGACAAAAGAGAAAGAUGAAAGAGACAGAGGGUUAACUAGCAUCCAGAAUCUCAGGAUUGUAAUUGAUCUGAACCUAGGAGAGUGCAGUUGCAACUCUAACGGAGCAACCGGGAUGAUCCAAAGGUUCCUCUUGAGAUAUUUUCCAUUGUAGCCUUUGAGAAUCAAAACAAGUUACUCCUGGGAAUUGCAAAGAGAAAACUGAGGUGUUGCACCUAUUUUUAAAUUCCUACCAUGAAAUCUAUGUUCAGAUGUGCACUGUGCUUCCCAAACCUUCUUCGUUUUUUUCCAGCAACGAGUCUUAUGCAUUUUAUGCUAGCAGCACUCUGCAUGUUAGCUAAACCAACAAGAACAAAUUGGAAAUGCAUUGUUUUCCAAAGUUGACCUCCAGUCCUUUGGAAAUGUGCCUCUUUGGCCCCGUUUCUCUUACAUUUAAACCCAGGAGAUUUCUGAUCUUUUCAACCCUGAUCAGGACCCCCCGACUUGAACCUCAGAUGUCUUCCAACCAGACCCUUAUAAAAACAACUGCCUUCCUCUCCUUUGUGAGGAUGAUAUAGUUGCCUCCAUCCACUAGUGAAGUUUGGGGCUAAGCAGCCUUCCUUAAAAGGAGAAAAUAUGCUCUUUUAGGAGGAAAAAAGAAGAGGGGUGGCAGCAAAGUGGGAGAGGCUAAUGGAAAUAAGGCAGACAGAGGGAGAGGGAUGGAUAGCGUAUGUGUAAGGAACACUCUAUGGGCCUUGUAAAGAAGAUGAAGUGGAUGAGAAUGAAGGGAAAUAUAAACAUUUAGCCAAAUCCAACAGGCGUUAUCACUACACUUCAAUAACCCAAACAAAAUGAAAAUUUAACAGAGCUGUUUUUAUCCCAUGAGGGCACUUGCGCGUUUUAUAAAAAAAAGAUAACCUUUCAAUUUUCUAUUGAGCAACAACAAAAGUUAGCAUCACACAAAAAACUACUUUGAUUCAAAUGAAUUGCUCUAUAUCAAGAGAAAAACAUGAACUUCAUCAAGUUGCUCAAGCACACAUGACCAAACAGACUGAAUGGUGAUAAUAAUCUUGAACUAAUAAGAGAACACUGUCUCAGCAGGCAUUUCCAUUUGCUUUCAAUAGUCUGUCUGCUUUUCCGUCAACAUUUUUAAUGUAGAUGCUUAUUAGAAGAUGUCAGUCUCAUUCCCUGCGCCGAUGGAGAGUGUGAAGAGGUGUCGCAGACGCGCCGCAGAAAAUUGAAGCUGCAGCUGAAAGGCUUUGAUUGAAGUUUUCCUGUGAGGUCACACUCGUCACUUUCAAUGACAAAUCUUAAACUACCCUU